rnacentral:lncRNA from 1 species
UACAGUCCAUCUCUGCAUCACUUAGGGCCACUCCUUUCACCCAGAAGAUCAAGCCUCUUCACCUCAUCAUUUGCCACUUUAAUACGCUGUUCCAUAUUCUGACAAUGUGAUCUAUGUCAUUCCUUCAUGUCAUGUUUAAUGAGCUUUAGGUUUUCUUUUCACAUAAAAUUCAUAUGCAAAGAUUUGUCAAACCCCUUUAUAAAAGCAUCUUGUCACAUAUUUGUCCAUAAUGGAAAAUAUCAAAAUAUAUUUUUGUAUUUUGUAUGACUUAUGCAAUCAUAAAUCUCUUCUAGCAACAACAACAUUAUCUUCUUUCCACUCUUAUUUUUCAACAUUAUUAGAUGCUAGUCACAAACCAAACAUAAACUUCCAAAAACAGUUAUAAUUUAUGCAUAGUACUAUUACUAAUAUAUUCACAUGCAUAACUGUAUAAUAUAUUUCACAUGUCAUGCUAAGAAGUUCCUACGUGUCUUGCAUAUAAGAAUUGUCAGAUAUCAUACUCUAGAGUAUGUGGUUCCUCUAUCUAUCCCGUGAUCAAACAGUGAUUCAAAUUCAAUUAUUCUUAUGCAUCCACAUCAACUAGGAACAAACUUCCAAAAUAUACUUGGUAAACUUUUUGGAUUUUUCCUGAAAAAUAAAACUACUUUUAAAUACUUAUCUAUCUAGUAGGUAUGCUUGUGUUUUUCUAUUAUUACAUUUUCAAUUUUUGAGAUACAUUAUAAAAUAUGGAUACUCAUUGGAUUAGGACUAUACCGGUACAUGUCGUUGUCUGUGUUUGUGUCCGUGCUUUAUAGGUGAUACAUAGUUGAAUAGUAAAAUCUUUUUUUUUUUACAAAAGUUGAAUAGUAUAAUCAUAUAAGAUUAUGAAAUUGUAAUAUAUUGUUGAAUAGUAAAAUAAUAUAACAUUUUGUAAUACAUUGUUUAAGAAAACAAACCUGAAACCACAUUUUUUAAUUAGUUAAAGAUUAUAGGUAUUAGCAUGAUUGCACAAAAUAGUCUUUCUUAUUUAGGUAUUUACACAAACCCUAAUUUAAUUUGAUUGUCUUUAUCAUAGACAGCUAAAGGAAACUAGUCUACAAAAUCUUAUUAUUUAGAUUGUUUUCAUAGACAGCUAGAAGAAACAAAGAGCAGUAAAAAGAUAGAGGACUAGAUUCUAUUUUUGUUUUCAACAAGUUUCUUGCACGAUAGUUAACCCUAUUUGAGGCAUUGUGUUACACUAAAUGUGAAAUUUCGUUUGUGUGCACUCAAAACAUAUCAUGUAAUUACACACUCGGUACAUUCCUGGUUCUUCGAUUAAAAUCGGACAAGUCAAAUUUCAACCUCAAUAUUAUAGAUUUUAAAAUGUAUUCAAAACCUGCAACGUCCGAUCUUAAUUCAACAACUAUCGAUGUGUCAACUGUGUUAAUGCACGAGAUUUUGACUGCAUGCAAUCCAAAUCCCUAAAUGUGGAUAACUCUCUCCCUCGGAAUUCAAAUUUUAGUUCGCCACAUUAUGGGUUACUACCUAUUCGCUAGACCCAAUAUCGGUUAGUGGAAUAGUUCAUAUUCAAACAAUGGGUAUUACUAAGUAAAGUAGAACAAGUAACCAUUUUACGGUCGUUUCUGAAGAGAUUUGAACUCAAGUUAGUUGAAGUUAAAAGAUCAAACUCUUAUUACUGAUGUGACAUAUGAUUGAGAAAUAGUGUCUUAAAUAUAUUUAUAUAGACCUUCAUUAUUUAUUUAAAAGCACAAUACAAAUUUGCAUUCCCUUCACAAGAAGACAUUAUUUCUGAAAACUCAAACCUCAUCACAAUGUCUUGGUUCCUUACAAUUCUGUUUCUCAGUCUCACAUUUGGUACUAAUUUUUCAGAAGCAAACCAUGACAACAAGAAGCUUCUUCCUUCACCUGUUGUAGUUGGCACUGUCUACUGUGACACAUGUUUUCAACAAGCUUUCUCUCUAAACAGCCACUUCAUUUCAGGUAAUCCAUUUCAACCUCAAAAGGGUACUUCAAUUUUAUAUCUCUUAAAAUGUUGUAAAAUUUUUCUAAACCUUAUCAUAUUUUAUUUUGUCCUUGUUUUUAUGUAUAGGUGCAUCAAUAGCUGUUGAAUGCAAAAUAGGAAAAACAAAACCAAGAUUCUAUAAAGAAGUGAAAACAAAUGAACAUGGAGAAUUCAAAGUGAAACUACCUUUCUUAGUGAAGAAACAUGUGAAGAGAAUCAAAGGGUGUAAUUUUAAGUUGUUAAGUAGUAAUGAACCAAAUUGUGCUAUAGCCUCAACUUCUACUUCAUCUUCACUAAGCCUAAAGAAAAAGUUGCAACAAGAACACAUUUUUUCAGCUGGGAUUUUCUCAUUCAAGCCUAUAAAAAAACCAAAAUUUUGUGACAAAAAACAUAGUAUUCAUAACCUUAAGAAACAACAUAGUUAUGUGAAAAAUUUGGAACAAUCAAAAUUUUCAAGCAAAAAUAAAGUACCUAAUGAAGUUGAAGAUUUCUUCUUUUUUCCUCCAAACCCUUUUUUUCCACCACCUAUUAUCCCUAAUCCACUUCAACCUCCACCUUUGAUUCCUAACCCUUUGCAACCACCACCUUUGAUUCCAAAUCCAUUUCAACCACCAAGUCCACCCUUGAUUCCUAAUCCAUUUCAACCACCAAGUCCACCACUUAUUCCAAAUCCAUUUCAACCUCCUCCAUCAAAUCCACCACUUAUUCCUAAUCCAUUUCAACCUCCCCCAGCAAGUCCUCCACCACUCAUUCCAAAUCCAUUUCAGCCUCCACCAUCAAGUCCACCACCAUCAUUUCCUUUUCCACCAAUAGUAAUACCAGGUUUAACUCCAUCACCACCGCCGCCGCCACCACCAAAAUCAAUUUUUCCUGCUCCCUUACUUCCUUUUCCUCCACUGUUCCCACCACCUCUUAGCCCUGGCUCACCCCCUACUUCUUCAAGUAAUUUCUCUCCUUGAUUAUUAACAUAUUAUUCCUUCUGGUUCUAUUAAUAAAAAACAUUUGGGUCAACAAAAGUUGAUGUAUUUGGAC